AACGAACGCUGGCGGCAGGCUUAACACAUGCAAGUCGAGCGCCCCGCAAGGGGAGCGGCAGACGGGUGAGUAACGCGUGGGAAUCUACCCAUCUCUACGGAACAACUCCGGGAAACUGGAGCUAAUACCGUAUACGUCCUUCGGGAGAAAGAUUUAUCGGAGAUGGAUGAGCCCGCGUUGGAUUAGCUAGUUGGUGGGGUAAUGGCCUACCAAGGCGACGAUCCAUAGCUGGUCUGAGAGGAUGAUCAGCCACACUGGGACUGAGACACGGCCCAGACUCCUACGGGAGGCAGCAGUGGGGAAUAUUGGACAAUGGGCGCAAGCCUGAUCCAGCCAUGCCGCGUGAGUGAUGAAGGCCCUAGGGUUGUAAAGCUCUUUCAACGGUGAAGAUAAUGACGGUAACCGUAGAAGAAGCCCCGGCUAACUUCGUGCCAGCAGCCGCGGUAACAC
rnacentral:rRNA from 1 species